rnacentral:rRNA from 1 species
GACGAACGCUGGCGGCGUGCUUAACACAUGCAAGUCGAACGGAAAGGCCCUGCUUUUGUGGGGUGCUCGAGUGGCGAACGGGUGAGUAACACGUGAGUAACCUGCCCUUGACUUUGGGAUAACUUCAGGAAACUGGGGCUAAUACCGGAUAGGAGCUCCUGCUGCAUGGUGGGGGUUGGAAAGUUUCGGCGGUUGGGGAUGGACUCGCGGCUUAUCAGCUUGUUGGUGGGGUAGUGGCUUACCAAGGCUUUGACGGGUAGCCGGCCUGAGAGGGUGACCGGCCACAUUGGGACUGAGAUACGGCCCAGACUCCUACGGGAGGCAGCAGUGGGGAAUAUUGCACAAUGGGCGGAAGCCUGAUGCAGCAACGCCGCGCGCGGGAUGACGGCCUUCGGGUUGUAAACCGCUUUCGCCUGUGACGAAGCGUGAGUGACGGUAAUGGGUAAAGAAGCACCGGCUAACUACGUGC